CAAUGCUUAAUAUGACAUUCACUCAGCUAACGGUUCAGCAAACACUGGCAUUUCAAAUGUAUAGAACUCAGUAAGAUGUAUUUCUUUAAAAGAGUACACAUCUGAACUAAAACCACAAACUAAAACUACCUACCAAAUGCACUCUCAUGUCAUCAUCAGAAGUAACGAUACUGAGUGGUCUUUUAUUUUUAAAUAAACCCCCGCCAUAACUGUUCCUAAGAAACCACCACCACUGUGUCAGUUUUAUUAUAAAUAGCAGGCAUUAAGUUCCUUCUACCUCCAACAUGUUAAUCUUUCUAUAUUUAGUCAAAUUCUAAAAUCUGAUUAUGUAGGAUUUUAGUCAAAUGCUACAUAAUAAUUGGACUAUAACCCUCUCAGUUUCCGAUAUUCCCCAAUUUACUAUGUUAUUUUUAAUAACCAUGGCCAACAACAUUUAUCCAUUUUAUAAAUGGAUACAUUUUAUAAAUUAGUGUAACAGAAGCAGAGUAAUUAACACCAAAGUGAAUCCCCGUCUUCCAAGUAGUAGUACAAAACUAUUUUAAAUAGAGAGAUCAAAUAUUUAACACAGGGAAAAUCUAGUGGUUUAAGCUAUUGGAAUGUCAAGAAUUUCAAAAUAAGGCAAAGCACAGAAUGAUUUGGGAAUUAUCUUAUCAUUCAUUCUGAAGAAAGUUCUGCUUAAGAAAUUUUCCGACACACCUUGACAGAAGAUGGCAACUAGCGCAAACAUUGAAAUAGCCUUGGGGAGACAGAAUUCUGAAACAACUAUAUCCAUUAAGGACUAACUCCACAUUACACAGAACAAACCUCCCAUUCUAUUUGCUUAAGAGUUCUGAGUAACUUGGAAACUUGCAUGUUCUUUUAUAGGAAACAUAAAAUUCCCUUUGACAUGGUCAUUGUUAACCCACAGGUUUUGCUGCAGGUUCCAAUGAGUAACUGAUAGGAAGCACAGAGCAAUGGUAUCAACAAAAAAAUCCCUGAAAGUAAUCUUUCAGCUAGAGUGGAGUAAACGAACAACAUAAAUAGAUUUGCAUGCAUGCAUAUGAGAUAUUUCAUGAGUAUGUUUAUACCCCUUUCCUACAGCGCGAGAGGGUUUCAGCAUGCAGCCUCUUUGAUACAGUCCUACAGCUAGCUUUUAAAUGGGGUUCAGCUGUAAUUUGAGAAACGGUACUUCAAGAUGUGCUGCUCCUUACUCUGCCUAAGCGACAGGUGCAUACUUUAUUUAUUAAAGGGCAAGAUGUGGAUAAAAAGGUUCUGUCCACUUCUGAGUUGAUGAAAAUCAGAAAGCAGCAUUCAACUAACGGGGCAAUGCUUUCAUUCCAGAAGCUUCACAUAACUGUUUCAAUGCAACAGUUUUAUUGAAACUAAGCAGAAACUGCAAAAUUCCACUAACUUGGGAAGGAUCAUCUGGACUCUUCUGCAGAUGGGAGCAGUAGCAGCCGGUGCGGGCAUCACCAGGGGGGCAACGGGCGGGGCACCUUAAGCAUAAAUUAGUAGGUGCUUAUCUCUGCUCUGGCCACACCUGCAAGCUGCUCCAGGCAGCAGUAUGCCACCCAGCACUCCCUAUGGCAGGGGAUCACUCACCUGGCCGCUGGCAGGAGACCGCCUCUGCUGAAACCAGGUUCCACAAAUCCUGGAGGCUGCUCCAUAUAAAUAUCUUCUUUGAUGUCUCCAUGAAGAAAUUUGCAUUUUCCACAUCUAUGUCACUGAGGAAGGAGGGAAGAGAAUAAAAAAUCCUUUAACUAAGGCCUGCAACAGUGUGUUGGGGCAGAGAAGCAAAACAUCUUGAGUGGAUACUGGAGCAGGUUUGAAGACAUCUGGGACGGAGAAGUUAACCUUGCAAGCCAUUUUUAAAAAGAGAGAGAGAGAAAGAUAGAUGGGGGGGGGGAUUAUUUUGAAACUUGCUUUUAGGAUUUUUGGAACUUUUGCUAUUGCUGCUGCUAAUGCUAUAGCUCUUUGAAACAGAAAACCUCUCCAUGAAGCUGUGUACCUUGUCAUCACAUCAAUGCUUGAGUUUUGUACUUUUAUUUAAGUAAUGUGCCUUGGCUUAACGCCAAUGUUCAUUGGUUACCUGACAAAUAAAGAGACAUUAGGGGAGAAAUGAAUCCCAUCUUCUUUUUUACUCAUCUGAA